CUACUGAACUGUCUCAAAACACACCCAUUCUCUCUCUCUCUCUCUCUCUCUCUCUCUCUCUCUCUCUCUCUCCAUUGCCUAUCCACGGCCAAACGCCCCUGCUGCUCGUCACCGUCCUAUCCGCUCGUCGUUACUUCGAGGCCCAGUGUUUCGAUUUCCAAACGGGAUCAAAGGACCGGCUUCUGGAACCAUUCCUAGGUCUAGCCGAUUCGACAUCGACGCUCUAUCUAGACCUCUCCUUCGACCGCCUACUCGAGUCUAGGCCUUGUGAUUCGGACCAGAACGAUAUGGUCGAGCGAGUGAUGAAGAUGGGAUCUGUGCUCCUCGAAGCCCAUAAGAGAUCUGCCAUAAAGCGUGCCACAAUGCACAACGCCGUUGUUUGGGCCCUGCCUCCUGAUCUCACUACCAACAUUCGUGUGGAUUGAUUUAUUUUUUUUGGGGGUUUGGGUUUCGGUUAUUUGUUCGGUUGGAGUGCACAAAACUCUUUGAUGGUUUACCUGGAAUACUGGAUAUGGAGUCUACUAUUGUGAUCAAGGUAGGAGGAACUACAGACAAUCUUGAAUAAAGUUGUGCAAAGUUUGCUACUUGAGACUUACCUGUCAGAUUGAUAGUUGCUUAGAAGGCUGCCUUGUGUUAGCUAGAAUGAAGGAGUAUCGUUCAAUGUUCAGUGUUCCAUGGAAAUAUCAGAGUAA